UGUCUUGUAAUUGGAAUGAUGGGAAUUUAAACCUCUUCCAGAGUAUCAAUUGGAGGGCAAGUCUGGUGCCAGCAGCCGCGGUAAUUCCAGCUCCAAUAGCGUAUAUUAAAAUUGUUGCAGUUAAAAAGCUCGUAGUUGAAUUUCUGCUGCAUUGUUUCUUCUCAUGUCGAGUGAUUCAUUGUGGCUUAUUUCGGAUUGUUUUUUACUUUCCGGAUGAUUACUUUGAGAAAAUUAGAGUGCUCAAAGCAGGCUUUUGCCUUGAAUAGUUUAGCAUGGAAUAAUAAAGUAGGACUUUGGUUCUAUUUUGUUGGUUUUAGGUACCAAAGUAAUGGUUAAUAGGAACAGUUGGGGGCAUUCGUAUUUAACUGUCAGAGGUGAAAUUCUUAGAUUUGUUAAAGACGAACUACUGCGAAAGCAUUUGCCAAGGAUGUUUUCAUUAAUAACGAAAGUUAGGGGAUCGAAGACGAUCAGAUACCGUCGUAGUCCUAACCAUAAACUA
rnacentral:rRNA from 1 species